rnacentral:rRNA from 1 species
UGGGGAAUAUUGGACAAUGGGCGAAAGCCUGAUCCAGCCAUGCCGCGUGUGUGAAGAAGGUCUUCGGAUUGUAAAGCACUUUAAGUUGGGAGGAAGGGCAGUAAGCGAAUACCUUGCUGUUUUGACGUUACCGACAGAAUAAGCACCGGCUAACUCUGUGCCAGCAGCCGCGGUAAUACAGAGGGUGCAAGCGUUAAUCGGAAUUACUGGGCGUAAAGCGCGCGUAGGUGGUUCGUUAAGUUGAAUGUGAAAGCCCCGGGCUCAACCUGGGAACUGCAUCCAAAGCUGGCGAGCUAGAGUAGGGCAGAGGGUGGUGGAAUUUCCUGUGUAGCGGUGAAAUGCGUAGAUAUAGGAAGGAACACCAGUGGCGAAGGCGACCACCUGGGCUCAUACUGCCACUGAGGUGCGAAAGCGUGGGGAGCAAACAGG